AGCUCCAAUAGCGUAUAUUUAAGUUGUUGCAGUUAAAAAGCUCGUAGUUGGAUUUCGGUUAAGAGCGACCGGUCCGCCGUUUGGUGUGCACUGGUUGGUUUUAACUUCCUGUAGAGGACGUGCUCUGGGCUUAACGGUCUGGACUCGGAGUCUACGUGGUUACUUUGAAAAAAUUAGAGUGUUCAAAGCGGGCUUACGCUUGAAUAUUUCAGCAUGGAAUAACACUAUAGGACUCCUGUCCUAUUUCGUUGGUCUCGGGACGGGAGUAAUGAUUAAGAGGAACAGUUGGGGGCAUUCGUAUUUCAUUGUCAGAGGUGAAAUUCUUGGAUUUAUGAAAGACGAACUUCUGCGAAAGCAUUUGCCAAGGAUGUUUUCAUUA
rnacentral:rRNA from 2 species